GCGCCCUACCGACUGAGCCACAGGCGCCGCCCGUGAGCAGUGUUAUUUCUAAUGUGCUAUACACAUAGUUGAAGGUUAAUUAGCAGUAUAACUAUAAGUAGUAAUGCUGGCAGUCUCCUUCAGAUAAGA